ensembl:lncRNA
AGGGGUUUUUCAGGAGUGAUGAAGGCAUCUCCACUUUCAUUGGCUGCAUGGAUGGAAGGUGCAUCGCUGAAUAUUUUUUACUUCUCCAAAGCAUUAUAUGCUGGCCGUGGCCCAAGCCUUAUAUUACCUAGGCAAGAGUCCUCUACAGAUGCCUGAGCUCACUCCCUUUCCAUAUAACCCUUGAGACUGUGUCUCAGCUGCUAACUUCUGGCUGAAGAAGACUGGAUGGGACUCCCUUCUGAGUCCAGCAGCAAGCUGACAUCCAAAAAGUGAGCUGUGGGGUGAUGCAAGACACUCCCUUCCCUCCGGAUCUGAGCUAGCUACCUCAUCUUGAAAGGAUUUGUUGCUCAAUGAUAUCAGCUUAGAGUGAAAUACAGAUCACUUGUCAGCAGUUAAUGAUAGUAUUUACUUGCUUACCUCACAAGAUCAGCACUGUAAAGUGUGAAACCUCUGCUCACCCUUGAAAAUGAACUACAUAAACUCAAAAUUUACUGUAAACUGUUGGCUUAUAAAACCUGAAGCAGGAUCAGUGAGAUAUCUGUUCCAUUAUUCUGAGAAUAUUUUCAGAACUUGGGGGAUAGCACUGGCACAAGAAACUCAUUGGAUCAUAACAGUAACGUGGAAUUCUUUUGCUGGAAAAGUAGCACUUUCAAUCAUCAGGCAGCUUUGUAGGAAACAGACACAACUCUGUCUGUGGAAGGGACUUGAUUCCAGGACUCCUUUGUUCCAGGUGAAGUGACAUUGGAACAGCAGCGCCACUGCAGCAGGGAGCACGGAAAAUUUCCACCUGGAAGAAUCUGGUGCUUGAGACA